rnacentral:ncRNA from 1 species
AGGAGCCGUGUACGUGACCCGUACGCACGGUUCUGUGGGCAGACGGGGCUUAACGCCCCUCUGACCCGAU